rnacentral:rRNA from 1 species
UACGAAGGAUGCGAGCGUUAUCCGGAUUUAUUGGGUUUAAAGGGAGCGUAGGCGGUCUUAUAAGUCAGUGGUGAAAUCUCGUCGCUUAACGACGAACGUGCCAUUGAUACUGUAGGACUUGAGUACAGAUGCCGUUGGCGGAAUGUGUCAUGUAGCGGUGAAAUGCGCAGAUAUCAGGAGGAACACCGGUGGCGAAGGCGGGUCUCUGGGCCGUAACUGACGCUGAGGAGCGAAAGCAUGGGGAGCGAACAGG